rnacentral:tRNA from 1 species
CCUUCGAUAGCUCAGUUGGUAGAGCGGUGGACUGUAGAGAGAUGGCGAGUCGCAAUAGUAAUCCAUAGGUCACUGGUUCAAAUCCGGUUCGAAGGA